ACAUAGAUCCUCCACUAUCUGCUGCAUGCAAACUUUUGCAUGCACUAUUUUCAAAGGUAAAUGCAGAGGCCUAUGCCUAUGCUUGAGUCUGUUUCAUGUGUAAUGAAAAGAAAAUAUUAAUGCAAAGUACAAGCAAGUAUUUAACUGCUAGAUGGACAGGUUUUCCACAUUUGAAUUACAAAUUAAUUGUGUACUUCACUUCAAUUUAUUGGUUUUACUAUAUAUAAUAAUAUUUACUGACGUUUUGUUUGUUAAUGUCUUAUUUCUACAUUGUAUUUUAUUGAGUAUAUUACAACAUAAAUCCUCCAAUUGAAAUGUGGCAAACCAAAAACAUUUUAGUUGAAUCCCCUACUCUUGAUAUGUAGCAGAAUAACUGCGGCAUCAUUCUGAAUGUAUUGGCUGCUGCACUGUGUUCAGUGUGAAGAUGACUGGUCAGCUGACUAUCACUAUGAAACUGGUAGAAGCAGUAUUUAUUCUUCACCCAUGUUUGGAGAUUGUGGUUUUUAAAUCACAAAGGGACAAUGCCUACUCUUGUCUAUUUUUUGUGCUUCAUAUUACAUUCCGAAACCCUGAAACCUUUGAAUUGUAGGUUUGGUAUUAUUUCACCUUGGAAUGGCCAACAAUAAACACAGUGACCAUAUUCCACAUAAACUGAAAAGACCAGGAGAAGUAAAUUACCAGACUCCCACUACACAGGUUUUACCAGGAGAAAUUCAAAGACUAUCCCAAAUCACGAAAGGCUUUAAUUCCAUUGUUCCUCUGGGAAAACUGCAUAAUGAUGUCCACUCCUACUGUUAUACUUUAAAAUAGAACAGAAAUGACAUCA